UCGCAUCCCAGACAGCACAUGUACGUCUGGCCGACGUCGGCCCAAUAUCGAAACGUCGGCCUCUAUACCUAAAACAUCUAUAAAACAUCGGCCUGGCGGAGGCCGAUAUAAUUUGGUCAGUGCUCUGUUCUCCAGCUCAUCAAUCGUCGGCCCUGAGUUGGUUCAUGACCGCGGGCCGAUGCCGCGCUUCUCUGUGUGCGCGUGCCCAGUAUUCGUCUCUUUUAGCCACCCAGAGAGAGAGAAGAGGAUAAUCCCAGCGACAUCUGUGGCUCUGAGGCUUCCAGAAAUAAUCCGGUGAAAUAAUACGGUGAGCUAUUGUUGCUGUUGCUUCUGAACUACAAAAUGAUUUUUUAAUUUAUUAUUGAAUGAGACUGUACAUUAUAAAUGUAAUGCUUUAACUCUAGAUGUUUGUUUGUGUGAAUGCUGUGUGUGCGGUGAGUCCUGCGCGAGCGGGGAGCAGAGUUGCCAUGGAAACGGGGCGUCAACACAAAAACCGUUACUGGCAAGCAGUAAUCUCCGUCUCUUGCUGCAAUUUACACUGUUUUGGAAACGGUUUAGUGUCUUCGGAAAAGUCCGUUAUCAUUUUAGCAGUUUUCAGAUGUUUGUUUGUGUAAAUGCUGUAUGCGCGUUGAGUCCUGCGCGAGCGGGGAGCAGAGUUGCCAUGGAAACGGGGCGUCAACACAAAAACCAUUACUGGCAAACAGUAAUCUCCGUCUCUUGCUGCAGUUUACACUGUUUUAGGAGGACAGAAAGAAACUCUACAGAACAGAAGUGAAGCUCCAAGAUUUCAACAUUUAUGAAGGGAGAUACUGACUUAGAAAUACAGGUGAACUGAAGAAGCUCAUGAAAUACAUUAAUAUGCCUUUUUUCAGAAUACAUUUCACCAAUUUUAAGAAGUCCCUGACUUCAUAACCUUGUUUCCUUCUAAUGAACCUGGAACUGCAGAGUAAAUAUUGUUGACUCUGUGUCAGAUUGCUUGUUUUGUUCCUAGACUCUUCAGUGAUGACGAUCAGAGUCUGAGUGAACCUGCUGUCAGACAGGUUGGCCUGAUUGACGAUGCCAUCGUCCAUCGCCGAUGGCUGAUAGACAUCACGAUGCUGCGCUGGCAAACAGCGUCAUCAGCUCCAGUAUCUCGCCCGUGCAUCUGUUGUCAUGCGGAGAAGUCACGUUCUAUAGACAGUUUCUAUAGACAGUUGUGAACGUGCUGACAGCUGGUUGCCCAGGCUAUGGAUUAAAGGUAAUACUGUUGGCCAGCAGAGCCCUGCUCACCCUGACGGCCCACCGCUGCUGUCAGACAACAUCUCCAAGAUGCUAUAAACUCCAGGACGAGAUGUCAAUCCCAAGGUUUCUAGAGAUUACAGCAGCUCCAGACUGAAUCCAAACUCACUUGUGAAGACUUCAGAUGACACCAACGCUCACAAAGACUACAGACAGCGACAACUGUGCAUAAACACACAAAACAUUGGACACACAAAACAAAUAUUAUCCUUAUUUUGCCUAUAAGGGUAAAUUUGAUGAUUUUCAAACUGCUUUAUUGUAACGUCUCUUAUAUCUGUAAAUGAACAAUAUUUACUCUCUGAGUUAUGUGGACCUACAUGUCCCCUUUUAUUUGUAAGCAUCACUUUAAAAAUGUUGAAAGAUAAUGUUAAUGUUAACUGAAUACAAAACUAGAGACUUGUUUAGUAAGAUUUUAUCAGAAAAUAUUUUUGAACUUUUAUCAUGCAAUUUAAAACAUUUUAAUUGCUCAAUUAGGAAACACUUUAGAAUAAGGUUCCAUUAGUUAAUGUUAGUUAAUGUAUAAAUUAACAUGAACAAACAAUGAAUAAUACAUUUAUUACUGUAUUUAUUCACUUUCGUUAAUGUUAGUUAAUGAAAAUACAGUUAUUCAUUGUUAGUUCAUGGUAAUUCAUGGUAAUUCACAUUAACUAAUGUUAACAAGCACAACUUUUGAUUUAAAUAAUGCAUUAGUAAAUGUUGAAAUUAACAUGAACUAAGACUUAUAAAUGCUGUAGAAGGAUUGUUCUUGCUUAGUUCAUGUUAACGAAAGUAGUUAACUAACAUUAACUAAUGGAACCUUAUUCUAAAGUGUUACCCUUAAUUAUUGUUUACCUGGUUUUAUUUUGUGUUUAUGUAACUUUUUAAAAAGUUCUUGGCAUGCGAUGCUGACAGCACUGAACACAUGACUUUUUAUUAUGAACUAUGGUCUUCCCAGUGAGUCUCAGUCAUCUCUGGCUUUUUAAACUGUAACCUUGAAACAUGCAUUUCCUGUAAACCUACUUUGAAAUAAGUAUUGUCAAAAGGUGCUAUACUCAUACAACAUUUAACCAUGCAAGUACUGUAGUAAUGGUUAUUUUUGUUUUUACUAUGGUUUUACUGCAAAAGCUGUAGUAAAAUCAUGGUUAAUGUUCAAAAGACUACAAAUAAUCCCGAAUUAUCCACUUUUGAUCAAAGCAUCUGGUAAAUGUUAUUGUAUUUGUACAUGUAAUAUGAAAUAAAUGAAAAUAUUAAUAAAGUUGCGUCUGUUCUUGA